rfam:Oryza sativa (indica cultivar-group) chromosome 4, whole genome shotgun sequence.
GGAUGCGAUCAUACCAGCACUAAAGCACCGGAUCCCAUCUGAACUCCGAAGUUAAGCGUGCUUGGGCGAGAGUAGUACUAGGAUGGGUGACCUCCUGGGAAGUCCUCGUGUUGCAUCCC